GAUGAACGCUGGCGGUGUGCCUAAUACAUGCAAGUCGAGCGAACAGACGAGGAGCUUACUCCUCUGACGUUAGCGGCGGACGGGUGAGUAACACGUGGAUAACCUACCUAUAAGACUGGGAUAACUUCGGGAAACCGGAGCUAUACCGGAUAACAUGUUGAACCGCAUGGUUCAACAGUGAAAGACGGUCUUGCUGUCACUUAUAGAUGGAUCCGCGUCGCAUUAGCUAGUUGGUAAGGUAACGGCUUACCAAGGCAACGAUGCGUAGCCGACCUGAGAGGGUGAUCGGCCACACUGGAACUGAGACACGGUCCAGACUCCUACGGGAGGCAGCAGUAGGGAAUCUUCCGCAAUGGGCGAAAGCCUGACGGAGCAACGCCGCGUGAGUGAAGAAGGUCUUCGGAUCGUAAAACUCUGUUAUUAGGGAAGAACAAAUGUGUAAGUAACUAUGCACGUCUUGACGGUACCUAAUCAGAAAGCCACGGCUAACUACGUG
rnacentral:rRNA from 1 species